rnacentral:rRNA from 1 species
GGAUUAGAUACCCUGGUAGUCCUAGCUGUAAACGAUGUAGAUUAGGUGUUGGGAGAAUCGAUCCUCUCAGUGCCGACGUUAACACAUUAAAUCUACCACCUGGGGAGUACGGUCGCAAGACUGAAACUCAAAGGAAUUGACGGGGACCCGCACAAGCGGUGGAGCAUGUGGUUUAAUUCGAGGCUACGCGAGGAACCUUACCUGGGCUUGACAUGUUAGAAGUAACCCAGUGGAAACACAGGGUGACCGUAUCCAAUCGUAGUCUUACACAGGUGCUGCAUGGCUGUCGUCAGCUCGUGCCG